rnacentral:misc_RNA from 1 species
CGCUUGGAUUAUAUACAACAUGAAAAAUGAGAAGAAGGUUUCAAAGAAAGAAUUUACAGAAGCAUUAAUACAAUCAAUUACUGGAAAAAAUAUAUGCCCUGAUAGUAAGUAUAACGACGUGCAACAUAACUGUAACCAUCUUUAGACCUAUGUUGAAGGUGAUUCCUUCUGUUUCGUGUUGACGACGUUCUACCUCUGCAACAGGAAAUCAAGUAACACCUACGGCCGAUCAUAUCCUUGAGAUGAGCGGUAAACGGCGAAAUUGUGUAGGGUGCUAUGAAAAACUGCGGGAAACCAUGAAGAGUUCCGAGG